rnacentral:rRNA from 1 species
AGCGAACGCUGGCGGCAGGCCUAACACAUGCAAGUCGAACGAAGUCUUCGGACUUAGUGGCGGACGGGUGAGUAACACGUGGGAACGUGCCUUUAGGUUCGGAAUAACUCAGGGAAGCUUGUGCUAAUACCGAAUGUGCCCUUCGGGGGAAAGAUUUAUCGCCUUUAGAGCGGCCCGCGUCUGAUUAGCUAGUUGGUGAGGUAAAGGCUCACCAAGGCUACGAUCAGUAGCUGGUCUGAGAGGAUGACCAGCCACAUUGGGACUGAGACACGGCCCAAACUCCUACGGGAGGCAGCAGUGGGGAAUCUUGCGCAAUGGGCGAAAGCCUGACGCAGCCAUGCCGCGUGGAUGAUGAAGAUCUUAGGAUUGUAAAAUCCUUUCACCGGUGAAGAUAAUGACUGUAGCCGGAGAAGAGGCCCCGGCUAACUUCGUGCCAGCCGCCGCGGUAAAAC